rnacentral:lncRNA from 1 species
CGAUAGAUGUCCUCAAAGCUUCUCUAUAACUUAAUAAAGUAUUGAUAACUUCAUUUUAUAAUUGCAUACAAAUAAUUUACACAUUAUAUAUCCGAUAUAAAAUAAGUCAAAAUUUACAAAAAUUAAAGGCAAGGCUCAUUAGAAACUUUUGAAUCUGAAAAUGGGGUUGAAGACAACAACUGCGCUAUAGUAAAAAACAAAUUAUAAAUUGUUGACACAUCCUACACAUUAAUUGAUGUAAUGGGUCAAUUUAGCCUGAGCCCAAAACCAUAAGAUAAACAAAAAUAAAAUGUCCACUGUCCAAUUUACACAGCCCAAAAUCAUAACCCGAGCCCAACUACAUAAUACCCAACUAAAUUGGCCCGAAAAUUAAAAAAUAAGAAACCCUAGGGUUUGUUAAGGCGCGUCGCAGCCCCCAGCCUACAGCGCAACCUCCGAACGGCCUCCACGUCCGCGUACUAGCAUGCCACACUUGCAUCCAGCCUUAUACCUACAAGAAAAGGCCACACAACAGCAAGAAAUAGCAGCAAAAAAGAACAAAAAAAAACUGUAAUCACUCGGCUACAAAGCCAUAAACAUUUUUCAUUGUAAUUUUUUUAGAAGGAGACACAAAAAAAAAAUAGCAAUCGGAUAAAAAAAGAAUCAAGGUGGUCUUUCGUUCUGUUCUUUUAUUUCCUUUGCAAGUUUAUUUUCGAAUAAAGAACAUGCAUAUAUAGAUAUUCAAAGAAAAAAAGUUACCUUUCUGAGAUCGGAGAGGGGAACCAAGGGUUUGUUUGUUUUUUUUUACUUUUAAAAGGCUUUUUCUAGAAUUUUAGGUUUUAAAUCAGGGUUGGGGAGAACCAAACGGUCAAAAAGACCUCUUUUCGUAUUACUCCGACCACCAUAUACGGCGGCCACCAACGCUGGAGGCCAACAGCCAUGGUGGUUGGACGAUGACCAUAUUGGCCGGAGAAGAAGGGAGAAAGGAGAGAAAAGGGGAAAGCUUUUAGUUUUUUUUAGAGUUAGGGUUGAAAUGAGAGAUUGAAAAAAAAAUUUAGGUUUUUAUAACAACAAGAAAUGGCGUCGUUUUGAUUUAGCAUCCCAGGGGCUAAGCGGCGUCGUUUUGACGCGAAACGGGUCGACUUGAUCCAUUGCUCAGGGGAUCCACGUGUUUUCUCUAAUAAUGGGUUAUCUACAGCGUUGAUCCCUCUGUUUUUUCAAUCUUUUUCAACUUAGUCCAAUUCUAUUUUAUUUCUUUAAAAUUUUUUCCUUUAAUUUUAGUUCGUUUUCACUUUGGCCCUAAGACCGUUUGAAGAGGUCGACAUCUGAAAUGGUGUCGUUUGGGGAAUAGGGAUAAUUCCCUAAUCGGUCCCCGCCUUCGUUCGUGCAUCUAAUUUUGGUCCUAUUUUGUU